CCUACGGGAGACAGCAGUGAGGAAUAUUGGUCAAUGGGCGCGAGCCUGAACCAGCCAAGUAGCGUGAAGGAUGACUGCCCUACGGGUUGUAAACUUCUUUUAUAAAGGAAUAAAGUGAGGCACGUGUGCCUUUUUGUAUGUACUUUAUGAAUAAGGAUCGGCUCACCCCGUGCCAGCAGCCGCGGUAAUACGGAGGAUCCGAGCGUUAUCCGGAUGGAUUGGGUUUAAAGGGAGCGUAGAUGGGUUGUUAAGUCAGUUGUGAAAGUUUGCGGCUCAACCGUACAAUUGCAAUUGAUACUGGCAGCCUUGAGUACAGUUGAGGUAGGCGGAAUUCGUGGUGUAGCAGUGAAAUGCUUAGAGAUCACGAAGAACUCCGAUUGCGAAGGCAGCUUACUAAACUGCCACUGACAUUGAUGCUCGAAAGUGUGGGUAUCAAACAGGAUUAGAUACCCGUGUAGUC
rnacentral:rRNA from 1 species